AGAGGUCUGGCUCACGGGGUCUGAGUCACCAAGUUGUUCCUGAGUUCAGAGAUGGUUUGACUCUUGAAAACUUAGGAAGAACAGCCUGAGACCCUGAAGGAGGGCUCCUGUGUAGAGUGGGCCUAAGGGAUGGACACAUCCCAGCCUCUAAGGAAGGAGCUGCCGCAAACACAGUUUGACCUGCUCCCUGCCCUCAGCCUCCACCAAGGAGGAACUGCCUCAUGUCGCUCUGGACCUGAGUGUGGGACAACUGCUGCCAUUUUUACAGAAGCUUCAGGAUGGGGCUGGAGUCUCUGAGGACCCAGGAGAUGGUCCUGCCCCCAGCUCGCCACUGCCCACUCCUCACCAAUGGCUACUACGCGCUGUGCCCCAGAGCUUCCAAUUCAGACCUGAGUUUGGAGGAGAACCUAGUGUCUUGGCUGCCUUCAAAGGCAUGGCCAUGUUUCUUAUGCUGUGCAAAGAGCAGACGCGAGGGAGGGAGUCCUGAAAGCCACAGAUGCCAAGUUUAAGAAACUUCCGGCUGCGGAGACGGCUCAUUCAGUAGAGCUUGCUGCACUAACACAAGGAUCUCACGUUUAAGUUUGCAUCUCAGAAAGCAUAAAAAGCUGGGUGUGGUGGUGCAUGCUUGUAAAUCCCAGCACGACGGGAGAGGUGGAGACAGGCAGACCCCUGGAACUGCUAUCCAACCAACCUAUCCUACUUGGCACACAUCAGGCCGAUAGAGACACUGUCCCAAAACUCAUGGUGAAUGGCUCUUGAGGACAUUUGAGACUGACCUCUGGCCCCUGCACAAAGGAGCACACAUGUGCACCUAUGUAUGCAUAAAACACACACACACACACACACACACACACACACACACACCCCUCUUAACAGCAUCCUAACAAUGACUUGAGAGUACAGGUUAAUUCAAGUCCCAGUUCUGACUCUGGCAUGCUGUGUGAACUUGGACAAGUUAUUGAACCUCUCUGUUCCAAUUGAUCAGUAAAAUGGAUAUUGUAACGGUAUUCUCUUCAUAGUGUUGCUGGCAACGCUGAGAGUAAGUGAACUAGAUUUCUAAGGAUUGGUACUCCACAAUAGUUCCCGACAGUAGGUAGCCAGCAUUCACGCUGCGGGAGGAGCUUGCUAAGACUCCUCUCUUGCCAUUCACUUCUUGCUGGAGGUUUGAAAGGCUGCUCUCCAGGACUCAGAGGCUCCCGCGAGGAUAGCAAAGGAUUUGAAUAGAAACGGCGGAUGCUGUAAAAACAGUAAGAUGAACAGUCAGAGCAGCAUCUGCACUGUACUCCUCCUGAGCGCUACUGCCCAGACCGACAGACUAAGGCUCCAACAUCUCAGCUGCUACUCGCUGGUUGUACUCAGCGACUGACACCAUAAUCCAUAAUCUCACCUGGAGGGUCUUGAGGACAAAGUCUAAAUUCCUCCCUGGGCUCUCAAAGCAUCUUUUAGGAGACAGGUCUCCGGGGUCGUCACAUAAUCUGCACCUUGUAUCGCGGAAGUGGCAAAAGCAGUAACCUACAUUCCUGUUACCUGGAAACGCAUAUCACAGAAAGAGUGGCUCCAAGCAGGAAGUGACUUGUGGGCCUCAGAAGGGCUUGAAUACCUCUCUUGUGUCUGGAACCCAGAAGCGGGCCAACUGGUACAGCGACCACACGGAUUGCAGGCUGUCCUUUUUUCACAGGUAGGGGAGGGAGACCCUCCAAACUUUCCCUCGGGGAAUCCAGAGAAGACAGACUAUAUAGGGAAGAGGGCACAUUUCUAGAGAAAGUCACCAAUACCUGUGGCUAAAUCUCCCUUUGAAUUAACAAGUGAACAAUAUGAAGGACUGGGUUCCCCCACACACACACACACUCCAGGUCCAGAAACCUGUGUAAUCCUCUUGACCCUUCCCCCUUCUCUCAUGAGAAAAGAAACCCCAGGUCUGACAAUAUUCUGGCCUCAGAGCCUGAAAUGAAUGGGCUGUGGGGUUGGGGAAUGAGGGUCUCUGAGGUGAGGUGAGGUGAGGUGAAGACAGCGACAAUCGUCACCUUUUUAUUGCACAUCUGCCAGGAGUCCAGUCAUCUCCUCUCACUCACUGAUUUAAUCCUAAACAUCGAAGGCAACACUGUUCGGAGAACUGAGGCAAGAGAGGCUAAUAGUCACCUCGACCAGGCCCCAGCUGCUAGGUUACAAACUCAAAGGCGUUUCUGGUCCAGGUCCCUCUCACUCCACUUCCCUCGGCUUUGCCAAGAGCCACUCUCUCUGAAGAACAGUGGUUGGUGUAUUCAUGCCGUAGGACAAGGCUGGAGUCGUAGGGUGUUGGAGAUAGAGGCAAAGCCUUCAGGAAUUCCAGAUGUGCCUAGAGACCCCAGAACCAGGCAGAGAGCAUGACAGUCCACGGACACAAGCAUUCAGCCCCUAGGAGGCAUCCAUAAUGCACCCUCUCACCGAGUGGAUGUGGCGGGUACAGGCUGUCGGAGGGAGCUGGUGCCACAGUGGAUGAUGGGACGAACAGUCAGAGAUAAAGCCUCAUUCAGGAUCAGACUCACAUGGCCUCAGCUGUCACUGCUGGGUCCUGGAUGGGAGGAGUUGUGGGGAGGGGAAGCUGGUGACUUAACCCUUCUGGAACCAGCAGGCUGACCCUGACCUUUCUCUCCUAGGGCUGUAUCCUUCCUUCUCUGUGGGUUAGCAUCCCAUCCCAUCAUGGUCUGCCAAUAAAAGAUGCAGGCUCCAAAUCUCUCUUUCUAGUGCUGAUCUUCCUGCUGGGCCAAAGUCAUCUCUGAUGCAACAGGGCCCAACCCGAGUUCCUCAGCUUACCCUAACCUGUUCCUCCUGUGUUGUUUCCUCAAGACGACACUACCACCUCUCAGCUCACACCAGGGCUCCUCAAGUCUCUCUGCUGUUGCCAAUCCAUGCCCCCAGGAGCUACCGAUUGCCUCUAAAGGUAUCUCCACCAGUCCGGUCCACAGUUGCCCGCCCCCCAACUGACCUGAUUCCUCCGCUCUUGUCUAUCCUCCGCUGAAUCCCCUCCAUGUGUUCUCUAAAGCAGCAAAGGAGAGCUCUGGAUUUGAACCUCAGCCUUGUCCUUCCCACCGUGGGAAUGUGGGGAGGGACCUAGCAGUGUUACUCAUUUAACCUGUUCCCUAGAGGAUAGACAGCAUGACUCACACCAGGUAAAAAUAAAGCUAGCACUGCCGGC